rnacentral:rRNA from 1 species
GAGUUUGAUCCUGGCUCAGAUUGAACGCUGGCGGCAUGCCUUACACAUGCAAGUCGAACGGCAGCACGGGAGCUUGCUCCUGGUGGCGAGUGGCGAACGGGUGAGUAAUGCAUCGGAACGUAUCCUGGAGUGGGGGAUAACGUAGCGAAAGUUACGCUAAUACCGCAUAUUCUGUGAGCAGGAAAGCGGGGGACCUUCGGGCCUCGCGCUCUUGGAGCGGCCGAUGUCGGAUUAGCUAGUUGGUGAGGUAAAGGCUCACCAAGGCGACGAUCCGUAGCAGGUCUGAGAAGAUGAUCUGCCACACUGGAACUGAGACACGGUCCAGACUCCUACGGGAGGCAGCAGUGGGGAAUUUUGGACAAUGGGGGCAACCCUGAUCCAGCCAUGCCGCGUGAGUGAAGAAGGCC